GUAACACGUAAGUAAUCUACCUUUGAGUGGGGAAUAACAUCGGGAAACCGAUGCUAAUACCGCAUAAUGCAGUGGCAUCGCAAGAUGACAGUUGUUAAAGAAUUUAUUCGCUUGAAGAGGAGCUUGCGGCAGAUUAGCUAGUUGGUAAGGUAAUGGCUUACCAAGGCUACGAUCUGUAACCGGUCUAAGAGGACGGUCGGCCACACUGACACUGAAUAACGGGUCAGUACUCCUACGGGAGGCAGCAGUCGGGAAUUUUGGGCAAUGGGCGAAAGCCUGACCCAGCAACGCCGCGUGAAGGAUGAAGUAUUUCGGUAUGUAAACUUCGAAAGAAUGGGAAGAAUAAAUGACGGUACCAUUUAUAAGGUCCGGCUAACUACGUGCCAGCAGCCGCGGUAAUACGUAGGGACCAAGCGUUGUUCGGAUUUACUGGGCGUAAAGGGCGCGUAGGCGGCUUGACAAGUCACUUGUGAAAUCUCCGGGCUUAACUCGGAACGGCCAAGUGAAACUGUCAUGCUAGAGUGCAGAAGGGGCAAUCGGAAUUCUUGGUGUAGCGGUGAAAUGCGUAGAUAUCAAGAGGAACACCUGAGGUGAAGACGGGUUGCUGGGCUGACACUGACGCUGAGGCGCGAAAGCCAGGGGAGCAAACGGGAUUAGAUACCCCGGUAGUCCUGGCCCUAAACGAUGAAUACUUGGUGUCUGGAGUAAAUAGUGCUCC
rnacentral:rRNA from 1 species